UCUUAUGUAGCCUUCAAUGUCCUGAGCCCUGAGAUGUCUCAGCUUCAGUGAUAUCCAUGGCUACCUCCCACCUCUCAACAGGCACCAGGCAACAAAUGUUUCCAUGAGCUAAGAAGCAGCACCUGUGCCCUGCAGCACAACCUAGAGGAGUCAGCCUCCCUCCUGACCAUGUUCUGGAGAGCAGCUUUACCAAGCUUCCACGGCCCUGGGCUGCCUGGCAAAGUGGAUGAAUCAAUGAAAAGGGAGCUCCUGGAUCUUCGAGCCCAAGUAUCCAAACAGGAGAAGCUCCUUGAGAGCGCAGCUGAGCGUCUGAAGUCUGUUAACCAGCAGAAGGAGAACAUGGAGCAGUUCAUUGUCAGCCAGCCUAGGUGCCUCUGAGCUGUGGAGCAGCAGAGGAAAGGGGUGGUCUUGCAGAUUCCCCACUUAUGCUGCAGAAGAACAGUGACCACAGAGGCACUGGAAUGUUGGGAAGGGAGAGUCUGGCACUGGGCCCAACCCUCCUGUGCCAUGAGGAAUUGUGGAUGCAGAGGGAGGAGAGUAAGGGGUCAGCAAUAGGCCAUGAUUGAGGGGUGAGAAGAAAGUGGUCUAGAAAUGCAUGCCCAGCAAGUAGGGCCCAGUUAGAAAUUCCUUCUUUGUGGGGCUCUUUUCUUUUUUCAGUGACCAGGACACAUGAUGUUUUGAAGAAGGCAAAGACUAACUUGGAGCUAAGGAACCGGUUGCACCUUACACAGUCACAGAGCCAAUUCAAAUACGUCACUGUCUGUCAUCAGAUCUGUGACAUCCGUAAGGGCCCUGCUGUGUGCUCCAGCAUUGACACCCUUGCCUUCCAGGAGCCACACAAGAAGCAAAGCAACCACCGGUCCCUAAUGCAUGAGGAAGCCUAGGCCUACCCCCCUCCCCACAUCUGAACAACUGCCUAUCUGCUAAGGAGCAUCUGAGUCCUAUUCCUUCAAAGCUGGUGCAGGUCUGAAGAGGUGAUCAGAGAUGUCUCCUACUAGGGUAGGAAGAAAGGCAGAAUGACUUCCUGGCAGUGAUGGAAUACCAGUAGUCAAAUACCACCAGACCCCCACUAGGCAGAGUUCACCUAAGAUUGCAUGGUAAACCUGUGACACUGCUUCUGAACAGCCUCAGUGACACAGCACCUGCUCAGCACUGUUCUCACCUUAGCAGCUCUCCUUUGAUGAUCAACUCUGGGGAAAUGAUUGCCUUCUACACAUGGGUCAUGUGGUUCCAAUGUGGAGCUUGUUGACAGUUCUAGAAGCACUCUAGUGAGAAGCAGGCACUGCUGGACAGUGUCAGUGAAACUCAGCUAGCACCUUUCACAGAUCCACACCUGACCAGGUAGCUCCUCUGGGAUAAGCCAGGCUGGACUUUGCACGGCACCAUGAGGUCUGACCUCUUUGAGUCCAUGUGAGGAAGGAAAUUGGUGACCUCUCAUUCAUAGCCUAGCACAAUCUGCUUCCUUUAUUAACAUGUUCUCCAAAUUUUACUGCCCCCUCCUCCCCAUUAAGUAUGCUGUGCCAUUUUGCUAACUUAACAUCCUUCGGGGGAAUAUGAGACUGAUGUCCACACCAAGCCUAUGCAAAGUCUUGCAUAUGGCAGCCUCUACUUGUUUCUUAGUGGUGUGGGCCAGGCCCCAAUUGUACUGAAGCCUCCUAUGUGUCUUUAGAGUGCUCCUAGGAUGUGAGUAGGUGGGUAUAAAUGUAAGAUAGAGGUUCAUUUAUAUUGCUGUAGCCAUACGUUGAAGGCCAACAUCACUCAUUGCAGGCAGGGUAAAAUAGUAAUGUCUUUCUGG